UUCGUCUGGACAGUUCCUUCAUUCCAUGUGUUGGUCUUGGUGGAAUGACGUACCAGUGAUGAAGCAAUUGUCUGUCAGCUCUCAUUCACACUGCUAUACCUGGCUCGUGACAUUGGGGCUGGGAUUAUGCCGAUUCUCGUGUCUCCCUUGCUAGCUGACUUCCCGUUUAUAGAGGGCACUAGGUGGAGACAGGAGGCUUAUUUGCUCUUCUUGUCUUCAGUGCCCCAGGAAUGGCGUUUCACCCCUGCAGCUGCUGUUUGUUCUGCUGUGCAGCUUCUUGCAGCACUUCUUGAGCUGGGCUUAGGCAUACCAGGGGGCCCUGGCAGGAAUGCUCCCUCCUCAGAAUUCUGAGUCUACAUUUGCAAGCCUUUCAUUUGAGCUCUUGAGACCACCAGCAGCUGGGCAGAGAGGACCAGUGCCUGCCUCCCCAUAAAGCUAUAGAGGAGGACGCCUGAGAAACUUUUCCUCCCUGGUGCGGCUGGCGGAGGUUCACACCUGCAGGCUGGCUGAGGCGCUGACUCUCGGUGCUGGAUCCAAUAAAGAGAUCAACCUCUUCACUUUCCCUUAGAGUCUUUAGAAGAACACAGCUCCUGUGUGCAGAAAGCAUGCAAUGCGUGAAUAAUUCAUCUAGAAAUUCUAUCGUGAAGUUGUAUCAGUUUCCACAGUAAAACCUGGCCAUGGAGGAGGAAAAUACAUCAACAUCUGUGACAAGCUCUAUGAAGAGACAGUGGCAAAGCCUUUCAGGCACCAGGAGCAAAGCAAAAUAUAAUAAAUUCACUUAAGUGUCAAA